UGUAGAGAUGUACAUAGUUCUCUGCUCUCAGUUCUGACCUUCAGCUGGGAGCCCAGAGGUCAGCAGAGGAUGCCACACUUCCUAUCUCUCUCCUCGCCCCACAGGACAGAUCUGCAGUUCUCCCUCCCUCCCUCAGACCCAACAGGAAGCACUUCCCAACCCUGCUUCAUUAGGAAUUCACACAAAUGGCCAGAAGGCCCAGCCAUGAAAGUCCUCCAUGACCCCAGGAGUCACGCGGGACCGGAGAGAGGCAGCAUCAUGGGAACAUCCUGUGCUGUUUGGCCCAUCCCUCCCCCGUGUCAUCGAUGGCCAGCCAGCGUACAUGAUGAGACGCCUCUUGAGGGUUCGACCAUGAGGCAGGGGUUUAGUACCUGACUGACUGGGAGGGUUAUGGUCCGGAGGAGAGGUGCUGGGUCCCCGCUAAAGACAUCUUGGACCCGGCCCUCAUCGCCGACUUUCACCGCCGGCACACCAGUCAACCAGGUUUUUGACCCUUGCCUGUCCUGACCCUGUACGCGCCUGCCUGACCACUCUUCCUAUCCC